GAUGAACGCUGGCGGCGUGCCUAAUACAUGCAAGUCGAGCGAACAGACGAGGAGCUUGCUCCUCUGACGUUAGCGGCGGACGGGUGAGUAACACGUGGAUAACCUACCUAUAAGACUGGGAUAACUUCGGGAAACCGGAGCUAAUACCGGAUAAUAUAUUGAACCGCAUGGUUCAAUAGUGAAAGACGGUUUUGCUGUCACUUAUAGAUGGAUCCGCGCCGCAUUAGCUAGUUGGUAAGGUAACGGCUUACCAAGGCGACGAUGCGUAGCCGACCGGAGAGGGUGAUCGGCCACACUGGAACGGGGACACGGUCCAGACUCCUACGGGAGGCAGCAGUAGGGAAUCUUCCGCAAUGGGCGAAAGCCUGACGGAGCAACGCCGCGUGAGUGAUGAAGGUCUUCGGAUCGUAAAACUCUGUUAUUAGGGAAGAACAAAUGUGUAAGUAACUAUGCACGGCUUGACGGUACCUAAUCAGAAAGCCACGGCUAACUACGUG
rnacentral:rRNA from 1 species